CCUACGGGAGGCAGCAGUGAGGAAUAUUGGUCAAUGGGCGCGAGCCUGAACCAGCCAAGUAGCGUGAAGGAUGACUGCCCUACGGGUUGUAAAUUUCUUUUAUAAAGGCAUAAAGUGAGGCACGUGCGCCUUUUUGUACGUAUUUUAUGAAUAAGGAUCGGCUAACUCCGUGCCAGCAGCCACGGUAAUACGGAGGAUCCGAGCGUUAUCCGGAUUUAUUGGGUUUAAAGGGAGCGUAGAUGGGUUGGUAAGUCAGUUGUGAAAGUUUGCGGCUCAACCGUAAAAUUGCAAUUGAUACUGGCAGCCUUGAGUACAGUUGAGGUAAGCGGAAUUCGGUGUGUAGCGGUGAAAUGCGUAGAUAUCACGAAGAACUCCGAUUGCGAAGGCAGCCUACUAGACUGCCACUGACAUUGAUGCUCGAAAGUGUGGGUAUCAAACAGGAUUAGAUACCCUAGUAGUC
rnacentral:rRNA from 1 species